CGUUCCAGUCGUUGGAAGAAGAAACAAGAAUGAGAUAGAAACAAAAUAUGCCAGUUCCCGUCCCUUGGCCAGAAGACAGAUAUCAGAGGUCCCAGCAGAAUUACAAAUGCUGAGAAACCCCAGGGUUGUCUGUGAACUCAGCAGAAGGAGCUGCAGUGUCUCAGGGGAAGACCGCCUUAAGCAUCUGUGAGGAGGGAGCGCUUACCCUGAGCCCUAAAGAACAAGCGGGGCUCAGGCAGGAGUGUGCAGCGUGCUGCAGACAAAACCUGAAAAUACAAUAGUAAAAGAAGGGCCGAGGCAGCGGCAAGCUGGCCCCACUGAGAGAUGGAGAGAGGCUGCAGGUCCUUGAACCAUCCACAGGAAAGACUGAGACCUUAGGCCCGGCAGGGUGGGGCACACCAGUGAGCUCAGCACCGAGGAGGCUGAGUUGGGAGGAUCAGGAGUUCCAGGCCAACUUGGGCUACACAGAAGAGAAAGGAUAAAAAGGAAGUUUGAGAGAAUG
rnacentral:lncRNA from 1 species